AUUGAACGCUGGCGGCAUGCCUUACACAUGCAAGUCGAACGGCAGCACGGGAGCAAUCCUGGAGGCGGGUGGCGAACGGGUGAGUAAUAUAUCGGAACGUGCCCAGUCGUGGGGGAUAACGUAGCGAAAGCUACGCUAAUACCGCAUACGAUCUAUGGAUGAAAGCGGGGGAUCGCAAGACCUCGCGCGAUUGGAGCGGCCGAUAUCAGAUUAGGUAGUUGGUGAGGGAAAGGCUCACCAAGCCGACGAUCUGUAGCUGGUCUGAGGGGACGACCAGCCACACUGGGACUGAGACACGGCCCAGACUCCUACGGGAGGCAGCAGUGGGGAAUUUUGGACAAUGGGCGCAAGCCUGAUCCAGCAAUGCCGCGUGCAGGAUGAAGGCCUUCGGGUUGUAAACUGCUUUUGUACGGAGCGAAACGGCUUCCACUAAUACUGGGGGCUAAUGACGGUACCGUAAGAAUAAGCACCGGCUAACUACGUGCCAGCCGCCGCCGUAACAC
rnacentral:rRNA from 1 species